UAAAGAAAUCUCAUUGUAUUAUAAAGAUAACUUUAUAUGCAAACAAAUAUCACGCAUUUAUAGAUUCGGUUUACAUAUAGUAAGUUUUCAUCCUUCUUCCUCACUUACCCCCCCCCCCCCCAAACCAUAGUCUGGUGAGUAAAGGCAUUAAAUGUUUGCAUAUGAUGCCUCAGCUUCAGGAAAAUUGAUGACACAAUGAGAGGAGAGGCUCACUCUAUUGCAGGCUUUGUCAGCUUUUUUGUUGAGGGAUGACUUUAAUCCUGCUUCUUUUUUUUUUAUCUUUGGUAAAAAACUGGCAAGCUUCAUACUGUAAUUUGUUUGUUGAAAGUCCUCCAACGCCAAUGAAAUAUACUUCAAACCAAAGGUCUCGAGCUCGAGGCUUUGAGAAUUAAUGAAAAAUAUUUUGGCUGGAAUGCUUCACCCAUGGAUUCCGGAAAAGUAGAGUAGAAAUUAGUAUGAGAAAAUAUACUAAAACAGUCAAAAUGAAUGAACACGUUCAAUUUAUUAACAAAGAAAUCCUUUUUUCGAUUCUUUUUUUCGAAAAAGAAAUCCUUUUUUUCGAUUCUUGUAAUUAUGAUUAGUGAAGAAAAAGUAAGCCUAUUUAUUUCGGCCUUUAAACCCAAUAGAUUUAGUCGGUCUUACACGAUGCAAAUCUGAAUUAAUCAAACCCCAAUGCGGAUACCAAAUACAAGAUGGAAAAAAAAAAAAAAGAUUUGAUGCUACAGUUUGCUAAGUGGUCCAUAAUGCAUGCCCUAUACUAUAGUAGCAUUAGAGCAGGGGCGUAGCUAGUCAAUUAAGUACUCGGCUGGACCUGUCGCUUUGGUCCAAUCUAUGUAUUUAUUUUAAAAUAUUUAUUUAAUAUAUAUAUAUAUAUAUAUAUAUUAUUAAUUUAAAACUCAAUAACUUAAAAAAGAUUAAAAUACCAAACUCAUAAACUUCAAAUCUCGGCUCCUAACUCUGUAUUAUAGGGAUCAUUAGCUUCUUAAGACUUGAAUGAGAGUUGAAAACGUGAUAUACCAUUGUUUCUCAAGUGAAUCUCAAGAAAGAAUCAUUAGCUUCUUAAGACUUGAAUGAGAGUUGAAAACGUGAUAUACCAUUGUUUCUCAAGUGAAUCUCAAGAAAGAAUUUUAUUUAAUUCAUAAUCUAAGUAUAGUAAUACAAUAUAACACUGCUGCAAGUUGCUUCUUCUAUUUUUCUCUUCUUUUAUGUAAUUAAUGUGGGUUGCUUCUCAAUCACAAAUUCCUCCAUCAUUUUAAAAUCUACAGACCUUUGAAAGAUUAUUCUCUGACUAUUCUUUCAGAGAAAUUGAAAUCUUACGCUAGCUUUACAAAAGCUUAAAAUGGAUAUAUUCUUUCAGCAACAAGCCAUACUAUAAUUUAACCUUUUCUUCUUAUGUAGAAACUUUUUAUGUCAAUCUGUGAGUCAUGAUGUCACCAAAUCUUGUAACAAAAAAAGGGUUUGCAGAUUUUUUACAUACAUUUCCAUGUUUAUCAUUAAGAAAAGCAAAUACUGACAUAAGAAUGAUACUAAAAUUAAGCGGCAAAAAAUCAGAAGCAUUUGUAAUAUAGUCAUCACAAGAGAAAUAAGUUUGUUAUUGUGUUACUAUAAUUUUUUAUUUUGUAGUUAUUGUGUUAUAGUAAUAAACUUAUGGACUUUCUACAAGAAAUAUAUAUAUAUAUAUAAAACACGUGCGGCCACGGGAAAAAAAACCCUAAUUAGAAAGAUGGAUAUAUUGAUCAUGAAGGUAAUGAUGAUACUUUAAAAGUUAAUCAAUCUAGUAAGAGUGGAUAUGACGAAUAAAGGACAGCUCGAUGCACAAGGUAUCCGAUAUUCUCGGAGAGUCCGGAGAAGAGCCGUAUUUCAAGUGUGAUGUAAAUAGUUUAUCAUAAUGAAAGUAUUAGUGACUGCUUACACGACUCAAAUUCGUGACUUAUACCAUUAUAUUAUCGUUCCUCCAAGGAACCCUUGAGAAGAGGGCUAAAUAAAUAAUUAAAAUAAAAAACAGAAUAGCAGAGACGGACAGAACAGAUACUUGAAGAUAUCAUAAGAAGAAUUAGGGUAAUGAUAAAAUUUGGCACAAAUACAAAGAGAGAAAUCAAGACUAUAUAAAAGAGCACAAAUGAGAAAUAAAUUAAAGGCAGCAUCUUAUAUUUAAGAAUGAAAACUAUAUUACCCUUUACCCGUGGCAGGGAAAGUGGUAUAGGAGUCAAAAUCCUCAUGAUUUCACUAAUCUGCUCUUGUCCAACUAAUUUAAUUAAUAUUUUCUGAUGAGCCAAAACCUUAGCAUGGAAAACCUUAAAACUUCACCUAGAAUCACAAUCCGUAAACCCUAAAAAUAAGAAAUAAAAACCCUACCUUUCUUACAUUUUUCUUGAUCCACACAUGUAUAGAUUGUUGAGAUAUACUAUAAUACAGUCAACAUCCUCUAUAACAACACUUCGCUACAAUGUUCAAUUUUUCAUGUUCUAUUAUGAAUUACAUUUUCUAUAACAACGCUUCAAAAUAUCAGCCAAUUUUUUUUUUUUAAACAAACAAAACUGUUAUAGAGAGAUUUGACUGUAUUGGAUUGCUAUGUACAACUCAACAUGGUAUUAGAGUCGGCGAGUGGCCCUUGGUUCAAAUCUCAUCACCAUCCAAAGACGCUUUCUUUGGCUAUGAAAAAGAGUAAAAUUGCACGUGUUUAAUGAUUUAAGCUUUUUAGAUGAGAUACUUACACUUACCAACAUAAAAGUCGGAUCCAACGAGGUUGGGAAAAAAAUAUUUAACCUUGAUUUUCGUAGGGAGGAAGCAAGAUUUGGGGGGAAUGAAGCCUGGUCCGACGACACUAAACCAUGAUCCAUGAUCCCUCUUAAUAGAGAAUGUCAAUCAAGAACUAUUGAUCUAUUUGCUAAUUAAUGGAGAUGACAUCUCAAAAAGGGAAAGAGAGUUCAAAUUGGAUCAAGUUAGUGACCUCGAGCCAGACAACAUUCCCCUCAAAACAAGAAAGCUUCCUCCUUCUCAUUCUUCUUCUUUUUCUUCACACUGUUUAGCCACUUGAAUUCUAUUCUACAGGUUUAUUUUGAUAGAAGAAAGGAAUAAGAGAAGAUAUGAGAAUGAAUGAAAGAAUGGGAAAUAGAGAUGACAAUAAAUAUAGGAUGGGGAAAGAAAGAGGGUGUGUAAGAAAGGACAAAGAAAGUCAUAAAAGUAGAGCCAAUAGACAGCAU
rnacentral:lncRNA from 1 species